GUGCUCACUUCAGCAGCACAUGUACUAAAAUUGGUACGAUACAGAGAAGAUUAGCAUGGUCUCUGUGCAAGGAUGACAAGCAAAUGCAUGAAGCAUUCCAUAUAUUU